CUGGCGGCACGCCUAACACAUGCAAGUCGAACGCAGUAGCAAUACUGAGUGGCAAACGGGUGAGUAUAAUGUGGGAAUCUGCCUUUUGGUUCGGAAUAACACGAGGAAACUUGUGCUAAUACCGGAUAAGCCCGUUAACGGGGUAAAGUUUUAAUGACCAAAAGAUGAGCCCGCACUUGAUUAGCUAGUUGGUAAGGUAAUGGCUUACCAAGGCAACGAUCAAUAGCUGUUCUUAGAGGAGACCAGCCACAUUGGGACUGAGACACGGCCCAAACUCC
rnacentral:rRNA from 2 species